AGAAUGUCCAUACGGCACCUAUGGGAUGGAGUGCAGGAGAACCUGCAACUGUCAGUCUGGCAUAUGUGACAGAGUGACAGGAAAGUGCCUAAAAUUUCCAUUCUUUCAACUUACUGGGGGCAAGUCAGCAAGUAAACUAAGGCUUGUUUCUCAUACAGGUACGUAAUUAAAACAUGUAUUUGUGGUUUAACGAGGACUUUCACUUCCCAGAUUUUUAACGUUGUAUGUCUGGUGAGAAAAAUAAAACUUCAAGUAGAAAUUCACACAUCUUAAUCCUGUAAUGGAGCAGCGCCGUCUUAGCUUUUUUGCCUUGUCUCAAUUGGAUUGUGAUUUAAUUUCCUCUCCUCGUUUCACAGUCCAACACCUAGUCCAGUGGUACAGAGUCAUACACUGAACGCAAAUAUGUUCUCUUAAAAAGGAAAAAGAAAUCAGUUUUACGGUUCCCUUUUACAACAGCACUUGAUAUGGGACUACUAUGAACUGCUUUUUCUGCUAAUGAAUACUAUGAGAGGUAUUCACUAUAGUCCGAAGGGCCACAUACCAAAUUGGACAAAACCAUACAGUUCUGUACAGGUCCAGUCAAAUUGCAAAAUCCAGACAAUAUGCACAAUAUGUAUAAAUGUCCACACUUCAAAUAAGCAUAUAAUAAGGCUCACUAAAGAAAGAAAACAUAGAUAAUAUUAUAACGUUAUCUAUCCAUUAGUGUUGCAAACAAUAUAUUGUAUAUGUUUUAUAAUAAUGCAAAUAAAGGUUGUUGUAAACUCAGUACUAAAAAAAUAUCAUAUAUAUAUAUAUAUAUAUAUAUAUAUAAAUUGCCCAUGUGUGCAAAUUAAAAUAUUAAUUUGUACUCCUGACUUUAGUUGGAUUUUAUUUUCAAUGCUCAUCCAAACAUUCUCACUUCUGUAUAUUGUUCUUUUUCGAAUCUUCCAAGCAGUCAUUAGUCUUUUAUCGAAUGCUAAUGCCUUCAGUGGGAUAUUAGACAAUGAUAUUGUAAAAAUUCUGCACCUAUGAGCAUGGAUUACGUUUUGUCUGUUUGUUGCAUUCCAUAGCCCCUGGAAUGGCAAAAAACAUAGAAGUCUCCAAACUUCCUAAACUCCUGUCCUCUUUCCAAUUAGUCACGAUCCCUCAAUAUCAUAUUUCAUAUUUAGCCUCCUCUCCUCAUUUCACAGUCCAACACCCAGUCCAGUAGUACAGAGUCAUCCACUGAACGCAAAUAUGUUCUCUUACCAUGUGGAUGCACUUGUAGGUUGCCAAGAUGUUUCUAAUACCGAUUAGAAAAAUAUGUCUCAUUAUGAAAUGCUUUGAUGUGCUAACUAUUUUUUUAUCAUUUUAUUUUUUCUUUUAGCACACUCUGCAGUUAAUUAGAAACAUAGAAACAUAGAAUGUGACGGCAGAUAAGAACCAUUUGGCCAUCUAGUCUGCCCAAUUUUCUAAAUACUUUCAUUAGUCCCUAGCCUUAUCUUAUAGUUAGGAUAGCCUUAUGCCUAUCCCACACAUGCCUAAACUCUUUUACUGUGUUAACCUCUACCACUUCAGCUGGAAGGCUAUUCCAUGCAUCCACUACCCUCUCAGUAAAGUAAUACUUCCUGAUAUUAUUUUUAAUCCUUUGUCCCUCUAAUUUAAGACUAUGUCCUCUUGUUGUGGUAGUUUUUCUUCUUUUAAACAUAGUCUCCUCCUUUACUGUGUUGAUUCCCUUUAUAUAUUUAAAUGUUUCUAUCAUAUCCCCCCUGUCUCGUCUUUCCUCCAAGCUAUACAUGUUAAGAUCCUUUAACCUUUCCUGGUAAGUUUUAUCCCGCAACCCAUGAACCAGUUUAGUAGCCCUUCUCUGAACCCUCUCUAAGGUAUCAAUAUCCUUCUGGUGAUACGGUCUCCAGUACUCCAAUUAUAGUCAAUAAACUUCCCUAUGCAAGAUCAUUCAAGCUGGAAAAAUCAGGAAGCCCUCAUAGCUGUCCCCUGGUGCCAUCCCACCAUUCAACGUUAAACCAUUUUUAAUGUUUUAAUGGUAAACAAGAAUUUCUAACAGCCUAUCCCCUUGGUCCUGCUUGGGAUAAUAAGCCCGAGCAGCUGUGAGCGGCUGUGAUUGGCUGAGAAUGCCAAGUUACUGUGUUCAGCCUAACACAGCGCUCAUUGCUAGUAUGAACUGGUAUGGUUAGAAGGAAAUUAGUUAACUAUGCCUUAGCCAUGCCACCAGUGAGCCUUUUUAAGGGUAUUAAAUUGCUUGAAAAUGGUUGAAAACUGAAUGGAAAGACAACUGCAGGGACUAUAACCAAGUCAAUGAGAUUAAAAAGUUAUAGUGCAUACUUUCAAGUACUAUAAGUUAUAGUGCAUACUUUUAAGUACUUUUAAGGGUCUAGAGAGUCCCUUUAAGAUACAGCAUGUCAAUAAUUGUAAUUGUUUUUUUUUUUGUUUUUUUUAAAUAUCACAUUUGUAUUUUAUUUUCUUAAUUUUUGUUUAGAUUCCGACACUUCUUCUGGUGAUGGAAACAAUCUCAAAGAAGAAUUUGUAAAAGAGAAAACUGUCCGAUCACCUGGAAUAAAAUGGCUAAAUCCACGCUGAUUUAAAAAAAAAAAAAUGUAAGGACUUUUGAAUGGAUUAAGUGCUUAUUUGUUUCUAAAUACGGCAAAUGAAAAGCACCAGAACAACCUGGAUUUGUAAUAAAACUCUGAAGAUUUCAGCACAUUGAUUAAUUUAUAAUAUGCAAGAAAGCAUUAAUGACUUCAGAGUUUAUGCAAGAAGUUUGUUCUAUGAUGCAAAAAUUCUUAUCAAUCUUUUGUAAAUUUAAAGUAAUAUAAAAUUAUUUUGGAUCAAUUUCAAAGGUUUUUCAAUUGUCUUGUAAAGGUGAUAUAAUUCUUCUGUGUAUUUAAAACAAAUAGCUUUAUUUUUGUCUGUGUAAGCUCUUCAUUUGAAUUUUUUUUUAUGUAAAUAAAUUUUCUGGAAUGGUUAUAUUUCUUAUGUCAUAUGUUUAUGAACUAGAGCUAUUAUUAUCCUACUAAUCAAUUUAUAAAUCAUGCCGCCUGACAUUGGGAAGAAUGAAUAUUGCACAAGGACACAUGGGCCGCAAGGGGUCACAACCACGGAAAAGGGGUCAACCAUAUGGAGUAGGACUGGGUCGACCAAAGGAGGUUGGGGCUUAGAUGGCAUGCCCAAUUAAAUGGCAGCUAUGACGGAUUGCCUCAGUUGAGGUUGUUCAUAUAUGCAGAGCACUUCUUCAUAUGGAUUUAAUGCCCUGGCUUUGCUUUACCUGGGGCAAGCAUGUCUAAUGAUGCACUUGUGAUGUGCUUUCUGGGAAAUUGGUUUCUGAAACGCAGGACACCAGUUAGCAAAGUUGAGCAGUCAGAAGCUCCAACUCACAAUUAUUGUGAGAUAAGAUGCUUUCUUAAACUGAUUUUUGGAACAGGUGUCUAUAAAGGGAAAUAAUGGCUCUUACAAAAUUACAAUAACAUAUCAAAUACACAAAGUGAAUAAAGGAAUUUCAGGAUAUUUUGUGACUGUGAAGUUACCAAGACAGUUUUGUAUACAAAACUAAAAUGUGAUAUUAAGUGGAG